AGCCUGCCCUCUGAAAUUUGAAUGGCCGCAGUAUUUUGACUGUGCUAAGGUAGCAUAAUCAUUAGUUUUUUAAAUGAAAACUGGAAUGAAGGGUUGGAUGAAAAAUAAGCUGUCUCUUAAUUAAAUUAAAUUGAAAUUUAUUUUUAAAUUAAAAAGUUUAAAUAUUAUUAAAAGACGAGAAGACCCUAUAGAGUUUUAUAUAUUUAUUUAAUUUUUUGUUUAGAAUUUAUUUAAAUAAUCUUUAAAUUAUAUUUAGUUGGGGUGACUAGAAAAUUUAAUUAACUUUUUUUUUAUUUUAUAUUAUUAUAUAAAUAAUUGAUCUUUUUUUUAUGAUUAUAAGAAAAAAUUACCUUAGGGAUAACAGCGUAAUUUUAUUGGAGAGUUCAAAUUGAUAAUAAAGAUUGCGACCUCGAUGUUGGAUUAAAA
rnacentral:rRNA from 1 species